rnacentral:rRNA from 1 species
CUGGACCGACCUUCGGGAGCUUGUACAGUGCUGCAUGGCUGUCGUCAGCUCGUGUCGUGAGAUGUUCGGUUAAGUCCGCUAACGAGCGCAACCCUCGCUGUGUGUUACAAGUGUCACACGGAACUGCCGGUCAUAAACCGGAGGAAGGUGGGAUGACGUCAAGUCAGCAUGGCCUUUAUAUCCUGGGCUACACACACGCUACAAUGGGAAGGGACAAUAGGUUGCGAAGCCGCGAGGCGGAGCCAAUCCAGCAAAACUUCCCUCAGUUCAGAUUGCAGGCUGCAACUCGCCUGCAUGAAGUUGGAGUUGCUAGUAAACGCAGGUCAGCCAUACUGCGUUGAAUACGUUCCCGGGGCUU